GUCUCCAGCUUCACGAUGUUUCCCUUGGCCAAAAAUGCACUGAGUCGUCUCGGAGAUUGUAUUACUUCUUCAUAUGUGCCCCUGAAGCCUUUUGAAAAGAACUGUAAAAAUAUUACUGUGGAGGUUGAAGAGUUUGUUCCAGAAAUGACAAAAUACUGUUACCCAUUUACUGUUUACAGAAACCAUCUGUAUGUAUAUCCCUUGCAAUUAAAAUAUGAUAGCCAGAAAACUUUUGCCAAGGUUAGUAGGGUAAGCUUUACAUUUUGGGGUAUAGAAUGUUCUUCAUAAUCUUAUAAUUUGGUGACUCAUUUUGAAUCAUCAUUUUAGGCAAGGAACAUUGCUGUCUGUGUGGAAUUCUGGGACUCAGAUGAAAGUGAUGCCAGUGCUCUAAAG